rnacentral:rRNA from 1 species
UGAUGUGAAAGCCCCCGGCUCAACCGGGGAGGGUCAUUGGAAACUGGGAAACUUGAGUGCAGAAGAGGAGAGUGGAAUUCCACGUGUAGCGGUGAAAUGCGUAGAGAUGUGGAGGAACACCAGUGGCGAAGGCGACUCUCUGGUCUGUAACUGACGCUGAGGAGCGAAAGCGUGGGGAGCGAACAGGAUUAGAUACCCUGGUAGUCCACGCCGUAAACGAUGAGUGCUAAGUGUUAGGGGGUUUCCGCCCCUUAGUGCUGCAGCUAACGCAUUAAGCACUCCGCCUGGGGAGUACGGUCGCAAGACUGAAACUCAAAGGAAUUGACGGGGGCCCGCACAAGCGGUGGAGCAUGUGGUUUAAUUCGAAGCAACGCGAAGAACCUUACCAGGUCUUGACAUCCUCUGACAAUCCUAGAGAUAGGACGUCCCCUUCGGGGGCAGAGUGACAGGUGGUGCAUGGUUGUCGUCAGCUCGUGUCGUGAGAUGUUGGGUUAAGUCCCGCAACGAGCGCAACCCUUGAUCUUAGUUGCCAGCAUUCAGUUGGGCACUCUAAGGUGACUGCCGGUGACAAACCGGAGGAAGGUGGGGAUGACGUCAAAUCAUCAUGCCCCUUAUGACCUGGGCUACACACGUGCUACAAUGGACAGAACAAAGGGCAGCGAAACCGCGAGGUUAAGCCAAUCCCACAAAUCUGUUCUCAGUUCGGAUCGCAGUCUGCAACUCGACUGCGUGAAGCUGGAAUCGCUAGUAAUCGCGGAUC